AACGAACGCUGGCGGCAUGCCUAACACAUGCAAGUCGAACGAGAUCUUCGGGUCUAGUGGCGCACGGGUGCGUAACGCGUGGGAAUCUGCCCUUUGGUUCGGAAUAACAGUUGGAAACGACUGCUAAUACCGGAUGAUGACGAAAGUCCAAAGAUUUAUCGCCAGAGGAUGAGCCCGCGUAGGAUUAGCUAGUUAGUGUGGUAAAGGCGCACCAAGGCGACGAUCCUUAGCUGGUCUGAGAGGAUGAUCAGCCACACUGGGACUGAGACACGGCCCAGACUCCUACGGGAGGCAGCAGUGGGGAAUAUUGGACGAUGGGCGAAAGCCUGAUCCAGCAAUGCCGCGUGAGUGAUGAAGGCCUUAGGGAUGUAAAGCUCUUUUACCCGGGAUGAUAAUGACAGUACCGGGAGAAUAAGCUCCGGCUAACUCCGUGCCAGCCGCCGCCGUAA
rnacentral:rRNA from 1 species